AGUUGAUACUGGCGUCCUUGAGUGCGGUUGAGGUGUAUGGAAUUCGUGGUGUAGCGGUGAAAUGCUUAGAUAUCACGAAGAACUCCGAUUGCGAAGGCAGUACACUAAGCCGCUACUGACGUUGAGGCUCGAAAGUGUGGGUAUCAAACAGGAUUAGAUACCCUGGUAGUCCACACGGUAAACGAUGAAUACUCGCUGUUGGCGAUAUAAUGUCAGCGGCCAAGCGAAAGCAUUAAGUAUUCCACCUGGGGAGUACGCCGGCAACGGUGAAACUCAAAGGAAUUGACGGGGGCCCGCACAAGCGGAGGAACAUGUGGUUUAAUUCGAUGAUACGCGAGGAACCUUACCCGGGCUUAAAUUGCACUGGACAGGCUCAGAGAUGGGCUUUUCUUCGGACCAGUGUGAAGGUGCUGCAUGGUUGUCGUCAGCUCGUGCCGUGAGGUGUCGGCUUAAGUGCCAUAACGAGCGCAACCCUUGCCUUUAGUUACUAACAGGUUAUGCUGAGGACUCUAGAGGGACUGCCAUCGUAAGAUGUGAGGAAGGUGGGGAUGUCGUCAAAUCAGCACGGCCCUUACGUCCGGGGCUACACACGUGUUACAAUGGGAGGUACAGAAUCUGCUACCCGGCGACGGGAUGCCAAUCCCCAAAACCUCUCUCAGUUCGAGAUUGGAGUCUGCAACCCGACUCCAUGAAGCUGGAUUCGCUAGUAAUCGCGCAUCAGCCACGGCGCGGUGAAUACGUUCCCGGGCCUUGUACACAC
rnacentral:rRNA from 1 species